GCCAAAACCCCAAACAAAAUGAAACAAACGAUAGUUGGGAAAAAUAUUUGCAGCGCAUAUGAAAUAAGGUUAUGGGGACCGAGGUUAAUGUGUCCAUAUACAAAGUGGUUUCACAAAUUGACAGUCAAGCAACUUAAUUUAAAAAAUGGGCACAGAUUAUGCACAGGCCAUUCAUGGAAGAGGACAUCUAAAUGGCCAACAAGCGUGUGAAAGAUGCUCGACCUGACUAGGAGCCAGGGAAAUGGAAAUUAAGGCAACUGUGGGAUACUACUUUUCACUGUAGAGAUUGGCAAACACUGUAGACAGCAAAAAGCUCUAUGUACACAGAGUGUGCAGGGCAACAGGCAGGCCCACACACUGCUGGGGGGAGUAUAAUUCAGCAAUGGUCUUGCAAAGUUACCUGAUAAUAUCUUCUAGAAUUAAUAUUGCACAUACCAUUUGACCCUAGAUUUGGAAAUAUAUCCUACACUUGAAAAUAUUGGCACGUAAGGAUUUAUUUAUAACAAAGUGUUUUUGCAGCAGACAACACAAAAUGCCAAGAAAAGAAACCUGGAAACAUGUUAAUGUGGGAAUAGUGAAUAAAUAGGAGUGCAUUUAUACCAUGGAAUAUUGUGCAGUUAUUAUGUUAUAUGAGUUAGUUUUAUAUCUUUUUAUAAAUUUUGACCUGGGGCACUCUCACAAGGUACUACAAAGUGAGAAAAGCAAGUGCAAAGUAUAUAUUAUAAUUUUGAGGGUAAAAACAAAUAACAACAACAUUAUUUGUGCACAUAUGUAUAUUUUUAUGGACAGGGAGAAAGGUGUUGAAAAGGGAGUGCAGCGGGGGAUAAAUAUUAAAUUUUUACUUAUUCAUUUUUAGUUAGAAUGCACACAAAUUGCUUUCAUAAUUUAAAACAAAGUGAAAUAAUGGGAAUGCAAAAAGAGAACCACUGCAAAUGAAUGAAUAAAUUAUAAUAGUUAUCAACAGACCAAGGGGAUGGGCCAGCCAUUGCAGGGAGAAAGCUGAAAGAGGAUAGCUGACUACAUGUCUGUCGGGAAUCCUGUUCUGGGUAGGGGUUUAUUUCAAGACAUCAAAUUCCCCUCUGGCUCUAAGAAUUUUUGGUUAGAUUAGAGGAAAACCAGGACAGUGUAGGGUCCCAGCAAAGCAAUGAAGGGGAGACUUUUGAGGUGGGAGUGGCUCAAGUGGAGGUGAUCCCGCAGUGGGGGCAUGCGGGUGAGGCCACACGCUGCCAUCUUUGAUGAGCAGGAGGUGGCCGGUGGCCUUUAAGGGAGUAGCUACAGGCAGUCUGUAGCAGCAGAAACUGGAUUGCAGGGAAGGUAGGAGCGAGGAGGGCAAGAGUGGAAUCCACCAUGUCAGCAAGCUCUGGGCUGAAAGGGAGGGGAGAGUUGGGAGCAAGGCAGAGGGAUGGUUUAGGAUUGGGCAGACCUGAGCAUGUUCAUGGAAAGCGUACCUAUGUGAGCAGGUAAUCUAUUCAGGGGGUCUGCCAAGGGGCUGGGGGUGGGUUAGCAUUCACAGCAAGAGGGUGCUUGGGUCUCCUUGGGGGCAGAGCCCUGGCUCUCUAAAAUGGGGGAGCAGGAAGGAGUCAAAACAAAGGACUUUGUUUUGGAUGGUUAUAAUCUUUGGAGACAGGCAGAUCCUGGUUUGGAAUCCGGGUUACUUGCUCUGUGGUCUUCCCCGUGUAAGCCUUAGUUACACUCAUUAAACGGAAAUAGUUUGUUCCUACCUCUCAGGCCUGUUGUGAGUAUUAGAAAAAAAGUCCACAUAGUGUCUGGCCCCCAGUUGGCCCUGAAUAAAUGACAACUGCUGUUACUGCUUAAGAGGCAGCACAGUGUGGAGGGCAGGAAGUGUCACUGGGAGUCAGACAGCCUGGGGUUGGAAUCCAGACUCGGACACUUACUCGCUGGUGGCCGUGGAGAUCCCUGGGACGCUGGUUUCCUCAUCUGUGUUUAGGGCUGUGAAUGUGAGGUUGUUGUGAGGUUCAGAGAUAAUGUGUGGCAAGUACGAUACUUGGAACAAAGAAGGUGCUUUCAAUAUAGAAGCUGUUAUUGUUUAUUUUUCUCAUUGUCCUUUUCAUAGGAGGUGAGGUCACGGGAUGACAGUCUUUGCAAACACGUUAAUAAACAGUUUUCCAAGUGGCCUAGAGACUCUGCUCAGUUAACAUGGUGUGUUCUAGCUGUUCUUGGCUCCCUGGAACUGGGAGUGGGGAAGGGAGACAGAGGUGGGAAGUGAGAGGUGAAAGGGAGGGUAAGGCUAAGGCUGGGUGCUCCCUUUUGAUCACCCCCCCAACACUCUUUCUUAGUAACUAAACUUGUUUUUGUACAUUUCUGUCUUGUAAAGAUUUCUUUGCACAUCUGUGGUACUGUAUGGGACAAGCAGGAGACAGGGAUCCAGGUGGACCGGUGAUUUGAUCACUUGCUUGCUGGAUGAUAAUGAGCAAGAGGUUUUACGAGCUUCAGACUCCUAUCUGUAAGAUAUCUAAUAAUUCCCAUGUCAGGAUUAAAUAAGCGUGAGUUGGUACUGAGCUGGGCAUAGAGUAGAUGCUCAAUAAAUAUAGUUUAUUUCCCUUGGCUGUAAAUGAGGGCCCUUAUCUCAUUCAUCCCUGAUUCUUCACAGCCUACCAUGAGGCCUGGCCCAAAGAAGGUACUUACAGAAUAAUUCAUAGGUACAUGAAUAAAUGAACCAAUGAACGCUUGUAAGGACGAUGUCAAAAUGGACACUCAUUGCAGAUAUUGGUCCGCAGCACGUAAUAGUGCUAUGUGGUUCUCGUCUCAGGAAGUAUGGUACCUAAGAGACUUUUCUUGCUGCCAUCAGAGACAGUGAUAAAUGAUAAACUAUUUUAUGGCCGGCAGUAAUUAGACAAGAGGGUCGUUGCAGUCUCUCUCUCUUUCAACUCUCUGGGAACAUUUAUGGGGCUGGGAGGGCAGCCAUUUCCUCCCGCCCUGCAUCUGGGCUGGUUCCAGCAUUCAUGGGCCUCCUGGAUCCGGUGCUGGGGGAAAAGGCCUGUGACUGCCUUCCUCAGAAGAUCCAGGCCCACGGGAAGACUUGAGCAAGGUCCUGGGGUCCCGGACAAAUAAGCAGGAUUCAUUAGCUGUGAGAGCUUUGCCAGUCCCAUCCUCUUGCUUGUUCUCAGUUCUCUCUUCUACAGAAUGGGAGUUUUACGCUAAAUGAACUUUAAGGCUCUUUCCUCUUUUAAAAUCCUGUGUGUCUAUAUCAAUCUUUUUGAAGCAAGUGUUUAGCUUGAUUUUAGGUUCAGGAAUACCCAUGAAAGAGUGUUUGGGCGGGUUUUCUGGAGGUUCUUUCUGGAGCCCUCGGAUGCUCAGGUGGUGAUUAAGACUGCACAUGCCAGAGGUAAUUCUAAAAGGAACCACAGCGGUCUUCUAGUCUAGAGCUUAUACUCUGAUAUCCUCCUGGCCACAUUUGGCCCAUAGAAGGGUUUUCUUUGGCUGUCAUCAUUCUUAAAUGUUUUAAAAUCCCUUAUUAUCUUAACAUACAUCCUGAUUGACUGAUUCUUAUUGCCGAUCUGCUCCUCAAGGCAUUUGAGUUUGUGACCCUUGAAAGUCGUCCUGGCAGGAUGGACCAUGGGCUUGACCCAAUUUCCCUGUGUUUGCAUAAUGCAAAAAAGCCUUUAUUUUAACAGUCCUACCCUCUCUAGGCUGAGAGGCAUUCUCCUCUCCUGAAAAUAGCCAGUGCAGAUGCAUCCCAUUUCUGACAACACAUUCUCUCCCCCAACAGAUUGGACUGAUCAUUUAAAAGCUCCGAGUGAAAGCCCAAGCUUCUGAUUGAUCUGAUAAUAUUGUCUUGUUCCCAUCUUGAGCUACCUGUUCUUUAAAUUGCAUAUAAAAAUCCAGUCCAUGCAAUAUUAACACACUAAUGAAUAAUACACCACCAACUUGAAGUGUGCCAACCCACCUAAGGAUUUUUUGUCUCCUGCAUGUUUCAUCAGAGACACUUGGUAUAUACUGAAUCAUCGUUAGGAUGAUAAAAAUGAUAAUAACAAUAAAAUAAAUACAGAGCAGUUUUACUAUGGUGGAACAAACAUGAAAGUGACUUCUCAAUUAUCAGUGAGAAAUGGACGCUGUGGUCCAGGGAUGGGCCUGUGCUGUUGAUGUAUUAGUGGUAAGGGCGGCUGCAACUGUGUGCGGGCGCACGUGUCACACAGCCUCAUCUGUCUAGUGCUGUCGGAGAAGGUGCCAUUGGACAACAAUGGAAUUCCUGACAUCAGAACUUAAGUGGUUUGAGGGAAAAGACUAGGACUUUGGAGAUGGCUAGCCCUGGAUUCAAAAGCUUGGCCAGCCACUUAAUUCCCCGUGAACUCUUUCAGUCUUGUAUUUCCUAUCUGGAAAAUAGGAUAAUGACUACCCUUCAGGAUUAUGGUGAAGAUUAAAUCAGAUCACGUACAUCAAAAUGCCUGGACCAGGGCCUGACACCUAAGGGUUGUUCAGCAAACAGUUUCCUCCCUCAAUGUACAGUGGAUGGUACCAGCAUGGGCGCCAUAAGUGUUAGCUCCCUUUCACUUACGCCUGAAGCUUGAACUGUAAGGCAGCUGGUUGAAAAAUCCAGAGGCUGUUUUGUUUUAUCUGUAGAUAUGAGAAUACCACCCAGACUAUUGGGGUUUGGGGAUCUCUGAUCUCCAAAUAGGGGGUGUUACGGCACAUCUGUAUCUGAAUAUGGAUAUGGAAGCAUGGAAGGUAUGCCAAACACUGGACCAAGAAGAGACCUACAAGCAUUCAUAGAGCAUUUAUGUAUUUACAAGAGUCUGCAAGCAUUUAUAGACUUUCUUUUAACUGUGAAGUGGAUUUAAAACAAUCCAUUAUUUUGGGAAAAGCAUUAAAUUGGAUUUAACUUGUAAAGAGUUGUGGAUUUUUUUCUUAAAAUAAAAAACAAAUGCAUUCAUUUAUUCAUUCAUUCAUCAGUCCUGUACUGAGCAUUGACAGUGGGCUAGUCGCCACGCUGUAAAUAUUGGAGGUACAAAGACGUAAUCCAAGGGGGAUGACAGACUCAUAAACUGUUGACUAAGCAUAAUUAAAAAUGCAGAAAUUUAGGACAAGAUACUACUGGAAGGCCAGGUCGAUUCUGACACCUGUGAUCAAGGACUCCUUGAAGGAAGCGGUAUUUAAGGUAAAGAAGGGAGGGAAGUGCAUUUGGGCUCAUGGCAUAGUGUUACGAUGGAGAAAAGAACAAGUUUCUCCAAAGAUUUUGGAGAACGCUAAGUGCUUCAGGGUGGCGGCAGGGUGGAGUGUGUGACGUGCUCUGUGUGUGUGUGUAUGAGGGUGCUGCCUGGGCGAGAUUCUGAUUCCAGUGCGCUGUCAGUCAUCAACUGCUGAGUGUGCUCCAAUGCACUUUGCAAGGCCCUUACCCAUGUUUUCUCCUUUGGUCGUCAUAACAACACUGCAGGCUCUGCACGGUCAUCUCCACUUUAGCUUUGAAGAAACUGAGACUCCAAGAGGGAAUGACUAGCCAGUACCCUACUUCGAAUUCUACGUCAGCUUUCUGCUCUUUGAGCCUUUGAGCUCAAAGUGUUUGAGAUCUACUGAAUGCCAAGGCAUUGCUUUAGAGGGAAGGCAGAAGAGACUAGAACAAGAUCUGGCACCCAGAAACUAGUUGUGAAGCUAAGACUUAGAUGUGAACAGAAGUUUUAAGAUUUUAGUCAAGAUACGAUCAGCCCCAACCUGGAGGCAGGUGAGCUGCCAAGUUCACGGCCAGGGUGAAGUUUAACAGAGGAAGUGGUUUUUAAACUAGGUCUUGAAAUAUGGAUGGGGCUUUGAGAAGCUGGGAAGAGGAAAGAGCACAGCAGUCAAGGGGAAGUACAGAGUGUGGAAAGCACACACCUAAUUCUGGUUAGGGAACAAAUAAAGAGGAAGCUGAUGUGAGCCGGGAACAGGAGUAGAAGAGGCUAGAAGGGAGUUUUAAACCUGGCUCCAGGACACCAGGAAUUUUGUGCCACUUCCUUUUCUGACUAAAUGUGACACCGUAGCUAGGUAGGGCUUUUGACCUUCUUUAUUUAAUCCUUUUUUCCCCAUCUGUCAAGAAUGGUUCAAGGAACUGUCAUGAGGAUAAAUCUGAUACUAUGAAAAAAGCAAUCAGAAGUCACUGGUGGGAAGGCACUCUGUCAGUCUGGGGAAUUAUAUAGUGAACAACAGCCACAUGGCUCAGAGCCGUAGGUCAGCAGGGCAGGGGGAAGAGAGAAUGAACUUGACUCGCACACACCUACCAGAGCAACUUCUCCAUCAGGCAGCAGACAUCAGGGCUUCCACCCAGCCCAGCCCUGAAACAGAGCUCCUUAAACUAUCAUCAUUUAAGCCUUUAGCAGUCUGGGGAGAGUUUUAGACCAUGCAAUGUUAAUAGACCACUUCUUGAUCAAAUCAAAAAGUGGAUCUGCCACUAUUUGUACUGUACAUGCAGGCAAUGCCCUUUCGCCUCCCUGGAUCUCAGUUUCCCAACUGUAAAAUGAGGAAGUAGGAGUGGAUAUUCCCUAAGGUUAUCUCCAGAUGUAAUAUUCAACAACAAUGGGAAAUGACAAUUCAUUCAGUAUCACCUGCGCUUGGUCAACAUUUCUCAAAAUAUUGUUCCAUGGGAUGUUAAUACGUACAAGCAAAAGUCAAAAUAAAACAAAAGACUAACAACGAAAACAGACAAAGAAAACAAUGAGGAGGAAGGAAUUCUAUGGUCAAAUUGGGUUGAACAAAAUGAGACAGGGAUCUUUACUGAAAGCCUUUAGCGAGUUGAAGUGCGCUGAGACUCUCCAGGAGGGUGAGAUAUUGAACUUUUCCAAACUUAUUUGUCUCCAUAAUCAUUUUCUCCCAGAGCUAGUGUUCAGCAGGUCAUACAUGGAGAAAUGCUACACUAGGAUUGGCCUGAUGAAUUCAAAUCCUUGGCAGUUCUUUCUGAGCCUCAGGACCAAGGGUGAUGCAGUAGAGAGAGCCCUGGAUUAGGUGUUGGGGACCCAGGGAUACCCAUUUUUUAAUUCCAGUUCUGUCUUCUUUCUUGAGGUGCGACCCUGGACAAGUCAUUGCCUCUCCUUCCCUCUAAUUAAAACGAAUUGAAUGAAAUGAACUCUGAGGUCUCUUCUGGUUCUAAUAUUUUAUGAAAACACAAUUUUCUGUAGCUUGUUCAUUCAUUCUUUCAUUCAUUCACCAAACGUGUGGAGCAUAGGGUGUGCUGUCAUUGGAGACAAAGAUUAAAAAAAUAGAUCCAAUAUGUGCCCUGGAGGGAGUCCCAGACUGGUAGGAGAGACAGACAUGUGCACAGGCAGUAAGAGCCCAGUGCGAACAGUGCUUGAGUCCAAGCGUGGCUCAGAGAGGGCAUCUCACCAGCCUGGUUAGAGACUUCAUGGAGGCAAUGCCACUUGAAGGAUGAAUAGGCAUUAACCUGGUGAUUAAAGGAGCUCUGCAUAAAGGACCAUCAUGGCUAAAGGCAUGAAGAGGAGAGUGAAUGCAGCACAUUUUGGGAACUGUAUCAACAACAAAAAGCAACAAUAGCAACAAUAGCAACAGCAGGUAUGAUAUUUUGAGCAAAUAUUGUCUCAGGCCAGAGCUGAAUGCUUUGCAUUCAUUUAAUCUCUAAUUUCUAUAACCCCUAUAAAGUGUAUCUUAUUAUCCUAAUUUUACAGUUGAGGCAAAUAACAGGCAAUUCAUUAUGCUUUUUGGGGAUUUCCCCCUAAAUACAAUUAACUUUCAGCUAAUCCCAAAGGAUCUAUCCACAUCGUCUAUUACUCAUGUCAUUUUCAGUCCAAGAUUGAUUUUUUCCUUUCAUUUAAGUGAGUUCUGGCUGCUUCUUACCAAUUCCAGUGAGGACAUGAAACACAAACUCCUUUAAAUAUUAGCUUAGGCAAAACAUUGGGAUGCACAAGGAUCAUGAUGCAUUUUCAAAUAAAAAAUGAAUGAUUUGCAGAUUUUUUACACAACAACUCGCCCGUCCAUUGGGGUGGAUCAUCGUGAUUAGGGCUUAAUAAAUUCCGUUGUCCUCCCUGAAGGAAAGGCUUGGAUGUUUUUCAUAUUAAUGCAUUCAUUCAUCAAUCAUUUAUUGAAAACCUUUCCAUACCAGUCAUUAAAUAAGAUACUCUGGGAAUUACCUGAAAUCCCCCAUGAUUCAGUGCAGGUGGUACCUCUUCCAGGAAGUCUUUCUGGCUCCAACCUCCCACCUCUGAAAAAGCUGGGCCAGGAGACUUUUUCUGUGCUCUAAAACUGUCCUGGAAUUUGCUAGAUCAUAACACUGCACAACUGUCUCUUUGCUUAUUUGUAAUUUUUGGUUUGGCAUCUCGAUUAUAAUGUCUACGAAGGCAAGGAUGGUGCGUGCUAUGCUAACCACUACAUUCUCAAUGCCUAGCACACUGCCUGGCUGCGCAAUCAGUGAUCAACAAAUAGUUUUUGAUUGAAUGGAUGAACCAUCAGUUCUUUACCAUUGAGACUAUGACUAAGAUUUUUAAAGUCCCAAGUGCUUACCACAGGGCUUGGACCAUAGUAGGGCCCCUUUAGAUAUUUGUUGAAUGAAAUGAAUGAAUAAAAGAUGGGAGGUAUGCUCUAUCUAUCCCAAGGAGCUUUCACUCUAUCAGGGAGAUAGGUCACUUGUUGUCGACCAGCAUCCAUCCUUUCCUUUAGGCAAGAGAACAUCAUCCUUCCACACUCAUGGGCCAUGCUCUCUGAAUGAGCUUCACCCCCAGCUACAGGGACAGAGAACUCAUUCUAGGAAUUUAUUUAGGGGUGGGCACCUGAGUCAAUUCUUGCCAGAAAGAAAAUAUAAAUCCUAGGUCUUAGGGCUGAGGGUGAUCGAGGGGCCCCUGGCUUCUGCUAGUACUGGAAGUAAGAAUGUGAAGUUUGGAACUUCUGCAACCAACUGGCCAUUAUGAGGGAAGCAGGCAGAGAGUGGAACUAACCCAGAGGAAGAAGAGCAAAGAGAUUGCCCUAACCCAAGCUACGGGCCAAUAUAUUUCCCUUUAUUGACAAUGGUGUGAGUUGAAGUUAUCAGUCAUUUGUAACAGAAAGUUCCAACUGAUAGAGGCAUGGGCCUGUGACAUUAUAAAGGAAGAGGAUUCUAGAGAAAAUGCUGAGAGAAUUCAGGAGAGUGCUCAGGAAACAGGUGCAAAUGUUUAAAUCAGGCUACCAAUGCAGGUUAUUUCUUCAAUUGAGAGUUCAGGGAGGAACUGGAAUCUGGGAAGGGAGCUCCUCUUUGUGCAGCUCUGAGCUGCUUGGGUGAGCCAAAGAGUAGAAAUGGAUCCUCUGGAGUGAGUGUGGAGAGGAGGAAGAAAACAGGAAGAGAAGACACUUGAGGAGAGUAAAAUGAUGAAAUCCAACAAUAAUUCAACAACACCUUCUGAGUGCCUUCUCUAGACCAGGCCCUGUGCAAGAAGCUGGAGAUACUCAGAUGAAUGAAGCCAUCCUGUUUUCAAGGAAUUCAUAGUCACACAAGUUAACAACCAUUUGCUAUAAAAUAAGGUGAUAGAACCAUGGGAAUAACACACCAGGACAGUGGGAAAGAGGAGGAAGGAGCCUCAAGCCAUCUUGCGGUAAAGAGGUCAGGACGUGUUACACAAAGAAAAGAACUUUUAUUGGUCAGGGGAGAGAAAAUUGUAAAUGUAUUCUGAUGCUGUAGAAAGAUAUUAGAAUUUCAUUUGGUUUGUUUACUCUUCAUUAAUUUAUUAAUUCAUUCAACACAUUUACUGUGUUCCUGUGCUGGGAACGUAAAUCUGUCUUGCUUUAAUCAUGAUUGCUAGAUCACUCUGUCGACUCUACACGAUAAGCUGGUAUCUGUAUUUUCAGCCCCUAGUCGGGGCCACUGAGUAUUUGUUGAAAGUGAGCAGACGAACAUACAUUUGAUAGAGCCCAAAAUGUUAGAAGUGAUUUCUAAAAGUCUUUGCAAAGAUACAUCUUUUGUGUUUCUACUAAUUUGGGUCUACUGCUGUCAAAUGCACUGCGUGUGGGAAGAACAAGGGAUGUUCAGAACACUCGAGUUCCCAGGCCUUUAAGAAGAAGGCUUUUCCUCUGCAGCCAGUUUGCUAUCUAGUUAAUCAACUUCUGCCUGGGGAGGACUCAGGAGACACAGGGCGGCACGCAGGAGUGGGAGGCAGUAUCGGCAGCCUUUUCUCCCCGGCUCCCUUUAAACGAUCUUGCUUCCAUGGUGGAAGGGAUGUCAGUGUUUCUUUUGGCCCAGGGCCUCAGUAUUGUGCAUUAAUUCUGGGGCCAGGUGGAGCUGCCACGAAAGUGGAGCAGAACUGGCACAGGGUGAGGGGAAAGGAGGGAGGGCGGGGAGGUUGAGGGCUGGGAGGAGAGCUGGGCAAGGUGGGACUAGCAGUGGCUCAAUCUGACCUCGUGGACACCUAGAACCUUCUUGGGCAAAUGUUCAAGGCAUGUUGGGUAUAGCAGCAUGGCUCUCUUUUGGUCACAAAGCAAGGCCUUCAUCCAUCUAUCUAUCCACUCGCCCACUCACUCCUCCCUUUCUCUACUGACCCAUCCACUCAUCCAUUCAGCCAAUCUCUAUUGGCAGGCUCGCUUCUAGCCACCAGGUGUACAGAGAUGAAUAGAGAGAUACAAGCAUAUGAACAGGUCGAUUAGGAUACCAUGUACCUAAAGCAAUAGAGAGACACUGAGAAAACCCAGAGGAGGAAACAACUAAUGCGGUCAGUGGGAAUCAGAGACGGCUCCCCUGGGAAAGUGCCACUUGGGGUGGGCCUGGAAGAACAAAUCUGAGACUGCCAAGACAGGAAAUGCAGGAGACUUAUACCAGGAGGUGUAAGGAGCCUCUUUACAUGGAAAGCAUGGAGGCAAAAAGGGUCUAGAAUAUUCUGGGAAGUGGGAGAAUUGGAGUGUGCAUGGAAUGCAAGCUUGUGAAGUUGACACCACAUUUCACAGAGUUGGUUCUUUUUAAUUUGCUGCGUUUUCAAGAGCUGACCUUAGAUGGUACAUGCCUUGAAGACAUCUAAAUACAAUUUAAUGUCAAAGGAGACUAGGUUAACGCUCCAGCUCUGUGCUCUCAUACGUAUGCCUCCUGUGUGUCCCCGUUUGAAACGCUGAUUGCACAUUAUUCUUCCAUUCAUUCAUUUUAAAAAACAAAUGUUUAUUGAGCAAGUACUCUGAGCCAACAAAGGCACAGAGAGAUUAGUUUUUCUGCGUUCACUCAGCUUCGUUCAUCACAGUAAGGAAGCCUCUCCUCGCGGGUCACUUCUGCCCUUGUGUAUCAGUGAACAAAGCAGAUGAAGACUCUUGGGCUUAGGGAGUUUGCAACAUGGCAUAAUUUCUCACAAUUGCCUGUUAAAGAUGGCUGUGCCUUCCCGACACGAAGUGCAGCGAAGCCUGGGGUUAUGUCUCUCUUAUUCCAUGACCAGUCUCACUACAGCACCUGGCACACAGUAGGACCAUGAUUUCUUCUUCCUUUCCAGUUGGCCUUCGUGAUCAUGGUUUUCAAUGAUAGGGGCAAGCUGUUUCACGUAGGCUAGUCUGGUGCCAUUUUAGAGAGAUCUUAACGCACUUCCACAGUCACAUGCUAGACACAGUUAAAAAUGUGUCUCGGAAACAAAGAGACAAACAAAAACUGUGUCCUGCCAGGCUUUGUGCCUGCCACGGUUACAUGGGCAGAAGGGACCCAUGAAGAGACACUUCCUUCAUAGUGUUUAUAACCAAGGUGUAGCGAGGCUCCGAGUUGAAGGAAUUCAAGUUCCCUGCACAGCUAGUAUUUACGGUCCUCCCUUCCCCCGUCUGUGGAGAAAUUCACGUUGGAUAAUGCUUGGUGUGAGUGGAGGGAGCACGGGCUCCAGGGUUUGAGUUCUCUUCUGUUACUAAACAUGAUGAAUGCAGCUGGGUGAAGCUGGAAAAAUUAAUCUCUUUGCCUUUGCUUCCCCAGCUAUAAAAUUAUGGGGGUGGGGGAGUGCGUCAAUGCUUAACUUGAAGUGCAGAUGGGAGAAUUAAGUGAAAUAAUAUCUGGAAAGCGCCUGGCCCCGGCACCUAGCCCAGUGGCAGCCUAUAAAAGAUUCAGAAAAUGAGAAUUAUCAAUACCAUGGCUCAAACCUCCUGAGGAGUUGUGUUAGGUUGUUUGGGCUUUGUAGAAAGAAUCUGAGACUUAGAACAAGGGGCAUGAGUUCUAAUCCUGGCUCUGUCACUUGUGAGCUGUGUGAUAACACCUUUACUACUCAGCCUCUCUGGGCCUUGACUCUUCAUCUGUUAAAAAAAAGAGGUUGGUCCAAUCGUUUCUACUCACAAAUCUUCCUCAGCUAAGUGUCUCUUCUCAAUUUCCACUGCUAAUGAAUUAAUCCAGCCUCUCUUGGGGAACAACCCCUGCUAUUGACUAAAAGUUUGUGUCCCCCCUCAAGAUUCACAUGUAUUUGGAGGUGAGGCCUUUGGGAGGUGAUUAGAUCAUGAAGGCAGAGCCCUCAUUAAUGAGAUUAGUACCCUUUAAAAGAGACCCCAGAGAGCUCCCUCGCCCCUCCUUCCACCAUGUGAGGACACAGCCAGAGGACGACUGUCUAUGAACCAGGAAGUGGGCUCUAGCCAGACGCCAAACCUGCCGGUGACUUGAACUUGGUUGGACUUCCCAGCCUCCAGAAUUGUGAGAAAUACAUUCAGUUGUUUAUAAGCCACCCAUCUACGGCACUCUGUUUUAGCAGCCCGAAUGCAGGAGGACAACUGCCCAGCCUCCACAGCUAGUUCAUGUACAAGUGAGAAAAUGGCCAUCCAUCCAGGCAGACACAUUAGAAGGAGCUGACUCUCCUCUGAGCAGACCCAGCCCCAUGCCAGAACUGCUUGUGAGCCAACUGUGGGAUUGCUUUUGAGCCCCAUUUUCUCCCUGCCAGGCACUCUGGCACAGUGUACAACCUUCCCUACCAUAAGCUGUGGCCGUGCUCUCCUAGCCCUCAGACACAGCUCUUCUGUUUCAGUCCUUUCUCUACCCCAUUCCAGGAAAUCACUCUCAAACCAAACCUGACCACAACCAUGUUCCAUCCUUACUGGUCUCUUAUGGCUUCAGGGUAAAAACACGCUGCUUUGCCAAACUUCAGUUGUCAAACUCUUCAUCUCUCCAUGGACCUCUACAUGCAUCAUAUGUUAGUGGCUCCCUGAACCUGCAGAGCUUUUCCUUGCUGCCACAUCUCUGCAUAUAUGCAUCCCCCUGUGCAGAAGGCCCUCUGCAAGUUUCUCCUCUCCACCAUUCAUCUCAGCUAGUGCCCAGAUAGCCAUCGAGACUCAGCUCACGUGUCAUCUCCAGUGACCUUUCUAUGAGACCUCAACCCAUGAGACAGACUGGGGCUCCUCCACAGAGCCUAGGCACAAAGCUACCUCUCAUAAUGAAGGGCCUCAUGUUACGGUUGAGAAAACUGAGGCCCACAGAGCUGACUCUUUGCUGACAAGAAUGACAAUGCCGGCAUCAGCAGCCAUCCUUUAUUGAGAACUAGCUGUGUGUCUGGCACUGACACUACCUUGAGGUGUAGGCAUUAUCAUGUCCAGUUUACAGCUGAAAGGCUGAGAUUAUGAGUGACAUCUCUUAUCUACUGCAAUGUUUCUCAAAGUGUGGUCCCCAGUCUUGCAGCAUCAGCAUCAGCUGGAAAUUUGGGAGAAAUGCAGAGUCCCCAGCUGACCCCAGACCUAUUGAAUCAGAAAUUCCGGUGGUGGACCCAGAUAUAAGAGUGUGAAAAGCCCUCCAGGUAAUUCUGAUGCAUGCUGAAAUUUGAUGUAUUGAGCACCUACUAUACGCAAGGUAGUUUGAGAAGCAUUGGCCUAAUAUUAUCCAGCUGGUAAUGAGUGGAGCUAGGAUUUAGAACCCUAUGAUUGACAGUUGAAAAAAAUUAUUAAGCUUGUGCUUUUACCUUCUAUGCUGUGACAUGCAUGGGCUUUGUUCAGGAAGACCUCUCCUGGCCACCAUAUUUAAAAUCACAGUUCCUCCCCUCCUGCCAUCCACUGCCAGCAUUUCCUGUCUCUGCCUCUUUACUCCAUAGUAUUUCCCACCAGCUGGCAUACUAUACACUUCAAACAUUUCUUCAUUGUUUAUCUUUCUCUUAGUCAGUUUGGGCUGCUA